rnacentral:rRNA from 1 species
UACGUAGGGGGCAAGCGUUGUCCGGAUUUAUUGGGCGUAAAGAGCUCGUAGGCGGUUUGUCGCGUCUGCCGUGAAAACCUGGGGCUCAACCCCGGGCGUGCGGUGGAUACUGCCGGGCUAGAGGGUGGUAGAGGCGAGUGGAAUUCCCGGUGUAGCGGUGAAAUGCGCAGAUAUCGGGAGGAACACCAGUAGCGAAGGCGGCUCGCUGGGCCAUUCCUGACGCUGAGACGCGAAAGCUAGGGGAGCGAACAGG